rnacentral:rRNA from 1 species
CUCGGGGAUUGUACACACCGCCCGUCAAGUCACGAAAGUCGGCAACACCCGAAGUCAGUGGCCCAACCCUUUUAGGGAGGGAGCUGCCGAAGGUGGGGUCGGUGAUUGGGACU